rnacentral:rRNA from 1 species
UACGUAGGGGGCAAGCGUUGUCCGGAAUCAUUGGGCGUAAAGAGCGUGUAGGCGGCCCGAUAAGUCCGCUGUGAAAGUCCAGGGCUCAACCCUGGAAUGCCGGUGGAUACUGUCGGGCUCGAGUUCGGAAGAGGUGAGUGGAAUUCCUGGUGUAGCGGUGAAAUGCGCAGAUAUCAGGAGGAACACCAGUGGCGAAGGCGGCUUUCUGGACGGUAACUGACGCUGAGACGCGAAAGCGUGGGGAGCGAACAGG